rnacentral:rRNA from 1 species
UACGGAGGGUGCAAGCGUUGUUCGGAAUGACUGGGCGUAAAGCGCACGUAGGCGGGUUCGUAAGUCAGAUGUGAAAGCCCCAGGCUUAACCUGGGAACAGCAUUUGAAACUGCGAAUCUUGAAUGCUUAAGAGGUUGGUGGAAUUCCUGGUGUAGGAGUGAAAUCCGUAGAUAUCAGGAGGAAUAUCGGAGGCGAAGGCGGCCAACUGGUGAUGCAUUGACGCUGAGGUGCGAAAGCGUGGGGAGCAAACAGG